AACGAACGCUGGCGGCAUGCCUAACACAUUCAAGCCGAACCAUACCUUCUGGUCUACUUGCGCACUGUUUCGUAACGCCUGUGAACCUCCCCUUCGUUUCCGAAUAACUCCCCUAAAGGGGUUCUAAUACCGGAUAAUUUCUUCCGACCAAAGAUUUAUCGCCUUUGUAUGGGCCCUCGUUGGAUUAGCUAGUUGGUAGGGUAAAAGCCUACCAAGGCGACGAUCCAUAGCUGGUCUGAGAGGAUGAUCAGCCACACUGGGACUGAGACACGGCCCAGACUCCUACGGGAGGCAGCAGUGGGGAAUAUUGGAGAAGGGGCGAAAGCCUGAUCCAGCAAUGCGGCGUGAGUGAUGAAGGCCUUAGGGUCGUAAAGCUCUUUUACACGGGAGGAUAAUGACAGUACCGGGAGAAUAAGCAACGGCUAACUCCGUG
rnacentral:rRNA from 1 species